UUAGCAUUGUCAUCAAAACAACAUAUGUGUACAGUGGUAUAGUGUUUGGUGCUUUAUCUAUUGUUUCAGAUACCACAGCUGACAGAAGGCUAUUCAGGAACCUCAAGCUAUGCAUAUUCAAACAAUGGGGAAUAUUUCUAUCUUGCAACACCUAACGGGUUUUUGCAAGAUAAAGUCUAUUGUCUGACAUUUGGAUACUAUAUCUCCUCUGGAUUCCUGGAGGUGUUCAUUGCAACUACUGUAAACAACAAACAGAAUCUAUUUUAUACCUCAUCACCUACUCAGUAUUGGUCAGGCAGGUGGCAAAAUAUUCAAGGCAUAGCCGGAUACACUCUGGUGUUACAGGGGAGAACAUCUUAUCCUGGUGCAGCC